GAUGAACGCUAGCUACAGGCUUAACACAUGCAAGUCGAGGGGUAACGAGAGGAAAGCUUGCUUUCCUUGUUGACGACCGGCGCACGGGUGAGUAACGCGUAUCCAACCUGCCCCCAACUAGGGAAUAACCUUGCGAAAGUAAGACUAAUACCCUAUAAUUUCCUCAGAUGUCAUCUGACGAGGAAUAAAGAUUUAUCGGUUGUGGAUGGGGAUGCGUCUGAUUAGCUUGUUGACGGGGUAACGGCCCACCAAGGCAACGAUCAGUAGGGGUCCUGAGAUGAAGGUCCCCCACAGUGGAACUGAGACACGGUCCAAACUCCUACGGGAGGCAGCAGUGAGGAAUAUUGGUCAAUGGGCGGAAGCCUGAACCAGCCAAGUAGCGUGCAGGAUGACGGCCCUAUGGGUUGUAAACUGCUUUUAUACAGGAAUAAAGUUAGCCACGUGUGGUUAUUUGUAGGUACUGUAUGAAUAAGGACCGGCUAAUUCCGUGCCAGCAGCCGCGGUAA
rnacentral:rRNA from 1 species